GUGCUUUUGGGCUGGUAUUUUACUUUUUUAGCCAAAAAAAUGCUGAAAUCAUCGCUGGUUCUUUGUUCCUCUUCUCCACUGAAGAAGUCUCUGGUUCUUUGUUCCUCUUCUCCACCACUGGUUCUUUUCACCUACAAUAAACUACUUGACUUCAAAAGGGCACAAUCUUUACCUACCCUUGGUUCUUGGACUUGACAAAGUUGUGCCUGAAGCUCAAAAAUUUAGAACAUCGGGCAUUGAUCCUGAAUUCGAAGAGAAGUUGGACCAAAUAUUCAUGGGGAUAGUUGCAAUAGGUGAUAAAGCAUGGGCACCUUCUUCUGGUAUACUCCGUAGUGAUUUUUUUGAGGAUGUUAACAACGAAAUACCUGAAGAGAAUGAAGAAGAUAUGGGAAAUGAUGUUCACAUUUUAAAUGAUGUUCACAUUUCAAAUGAUGUUCAAAUUGAUGGAAACAAUCAAAAAAGAAAAAACCCUGAGAUAUCAAGUUCACAUUUUAAAACUGGAAGUAAGAAAUCCUUAAAGCAAGAUUGUCCAGUCAAAUAGACAAAUUAUGCAAUGCAUAUGACAAUAUGAGUCAAGCCACAUCUAGUUUGACUCCUGUUAUGGAUCCAUAUGGUAUUCCACAAGCAGUCAAAGUGCUUGACAGCAUGUUGGAAGAAGUUCCAAAAGCUAGUCUGCUAUACUUUUUCGCACUUAAAUUAUUGUUGAAUAAGGACAAACGAAUUAUGUUUCUAUCGAUUAAUCCCAAUAUUAGAUCUUUGUGUCUUAAGGCAGAAAUGGAGGAUAGUUGAAAAUUUUCUGAUCUUCUAGGGUUCAAAGAUAUCUAUUAUGUGACUAAACAGCAAUGCUAAACUAGUUUUAUCAAUAGUUAUUUAUGUUUGGUUUUUGGAUAUUGAAUUUAUGUUCUACUUAUUUAUGUGUAAUCUAGUUUUAUCAAUGGUUGUUUAUGUUUGGUUUUUGGAUAUUGAAUUUAUGUUCUACUUAUUUAUGUGUAAUCUAGUUUUAUUAAUAGUUGUUUA